rnacentral:rRNA from 1 species
AAGUCUUGACAUCCCUUUGACCGGUGUAGAGAUACGCCUUUCCUUCGGGACAAAGGAGACAGGUGGUGCAUGGUUGUCGUCAGCUCGUGUCGUGAGAUGUUGGGUUAAGUCCCGCAACGAGCGCAACCCUUAUGCUUAGUUGCCAGCACAUUAUGGUGGGCACUCUAAGCAGACUGCCGGUGACAAACCGGAGGAAGGUGGGGAUGACGUCAAAUCAUCAUGCCCCUUAUGACUUGGGCUACACACGUACUACAAUGGCCGGUACAACGGGAAGCAAUAUCGCAAGAUGGAGCCAAUCCUUAAAAGCCGGUCUCAGUUCGGAUUGCAGGCUGCAACUCGCCUGCAUGAAGUCGGAAUUGCUAGUAAUCGCGGAUCAGCAUGCCGCGGUGAAUACGUUCCCGGGUC